UACAGAGGUCUCAAGCGUUGUUCGGAUUCAUUGGGCGUAAAGGGUGCGUAGGUGGCGGGGCAAGUCAGGUGUGAAAUCUCGGGGCUCAACCCCGAAACUGCACUUGAUACUGCUUUGCUCGAGUACUGGAGAGGAGACUGGAAUUUACGGUGUAGCAGUGAAAUGCGUAGAUAUCGUAAGGAAGACCAGUGGCGAAGGCGAGUCUCUGGACAGUUACUGACACUGAGGCACGAAGGCCAGGGGAGCAAACGG
rnacentral:rRNA from 1 species